ensembl:lncRNA
AUGUUCCUGAAUCUGUUCAUAUACAUAAGUUUGAUGCUAUCAGUCUCAGGUGAAAAGGGUGACAUGACUGUUCACCAGAAACCUUACAAUCUGAUAAUAAAUUACGGCGAAUCUCCUGAAAUUAAGUGCUUCCACAAAAUCCCAGACUAUGACCGCCUGUUGUGGUACAAGCAAUCCCAGAGUGAAGAGUUAACAUUCAUGGGAUAUCUACUUGGUGACACUGGAUACUCAGAAAAAGCUUUCCAGAACAAAAUUAAAAUACGUGGUGAUGCAAAUAAUUUUCAUGGCUCUUUAACUCUGAUCAAUUCUACAUCAGAAAACAGUGCUGUUUAUUUCUGUGCAGCCUAUUACACAGUAACACUAAAUUUGUUCCUCCCUUACAAAAACCCAGUAUUAAGAAUUAUUGUUUAUAGUCCUACACCUGUGAUAAACCACUGCUAGAUAAUAUAAUGCUCUUUUUCAGAGCCUAGUGAGUUCCCUUCCUACUUACACAGGCAGCUGCCAUCUGUGACGUUCUGAUACAAACCAAGCUUUACAUUUAAAUGAUUUUGAACACUCCAUAUAAAUAACUUCAUAUGAAGUGACUCACCUACAACUGAUUUCAAUAGUAUGAUUAUUUUGCUAGUGAAACACACACCUCUAAAUGUGUUCUGUCCAAUUAAAACUUUCCAAACAGAUGAAAAAUUCCUUACUUAGUCUUAGUGUAUAUGCAUGACAUUUGUUUUCUGUUGUUGUCUGUAAUGGCCAAAUACAUUUUAAAUUACUAAAAAUUAUAGUUCACCCAAAAAUGAAAAUUUGAUGUUUAUCUGCUUACCACCAGGGCAUCCAAGAUGUAGGUGACUUUGUUUCUUCAGUAUCACACAGACCAAGAUUUUUAACUCAAACCGUUGCAGUCUAUCACUCUUAUAAUGUAAGUGGAUGGAAUCAUGGAUAAAACAUACAAUAAAACUAAAAAAAAAAAAACAUACACAAACGAAACCAACUUAAACUCUGCGCUCGUUGACGAUACAUUGAUGUGUAAAGACACAAAACUAUCAGUCUGUGCAAGAUUCACACAAUGUCUGAACUGUUAGAACUCUCCUGAUCGUGUCCUCCUGAGUGCAUUCUCAGCAGCAG